CUCCCAUCGGGUUGACUGGCCUCGAUCACACGAGGUCUCGGGGAAGCCGGUCAGAUUCCGGCGCUGACCCGCAGCCGUAGGUGAGGCCAGUCCUCACAAGCCGGAAUGCCGGGCCCGUGCGCUCCCAAGUC
rnacentral:ncRNA from 2 species